GACGAACGCUGGCGGCGUGCCUAAUACAUGCAAGUUGAGCGCUGAAGGUUGGUACUUGUACCAACUGGAUGAGCAGCGAACGGGUGAGUAACGCGUGGGGAAUCUGCCUUUGAGCGGGGGACAACAUUUGGAAACGAAUGCUAAUACCGCAUAAAAACUUUAAACACAAGUUUUAAGUUUGAAAGAUGCAAUUGCAUCACUCAAAGAUGAUCCCGCGUUGUAUUAGCUAGUUGGUGAGGUAAAGGCUCACCAAGGCGAUGAUACAUAGCCGACCUGAGAGGGUGGUCGGCCCCAUUGGGACUGAGACCAGGCCCAAACCCCUUCGGGAGGCAGCAGUAGGGAAUCUUCGGCAAGUGACGGAAGUCUUACCGAGCAACGCCGCGUGAGUGAAGAAGGGUUUCGGAUCGUAAAACUCUGUUGGUAGAGAAGAACGUUGGUGAGAGUGGAAAGCUCAUCAAGUGACGGUAACUACCCAGAAAGGGACGGCUAACUACGUG
rnacentral:rRNA from 1 species